UACGAAGGGGGCUAGCGUUGCUCGGAAUCACUGGGCGUAAAGGGCGCGUAGGCGGCCAUUCAAGUCGGGGGUGAAAGCCCAGGGCUCAACCCUGGAAUUGCCUUCGAUACUGUUUGGCUAGAGACCGGAAGAGGUAAGUGGAAACUGCGAGUGUAGAGGUGAAAUUCGAUAGAUAUUCGCAAGAACACCAGUGGCGAAGGCGGCUCACUGGCCCGGUACUGACGCUGAGGUGCGAAAGCGUGGGGAGCAACAGGGAU
rnacentral:rRNA from 1 species